GCUACCAUAGCUUACUUUUUAAAGCUCUGACCUUGUAAAUCAGAGACGGGUUACAUCUACCCCUAGAACA